GGAGUCUGGGCCGUGUCUCAGUCCCAAUGUGGCCGGCCAACCUCUCAGUCCGGCUACUGAUCGUUGGCUUGGUGAGCCGUUACCUCACCAACUACCUAAUCAGACGCGAGUCCAUCCUCAAGCGGAUUGCUCCUUUAAUAUACCUGCCAUGCGACAAGUACACCUUAUGCGGUAUUAGCAGCCGUUUCCGGCUGUUGUCCCCCUCUUGAGGCCAGGUUACUCACGCGUUACUCACCCGUGCGCCGGUCGCCAUCAAAGUCAGCAAGCUGACUCCAUGCUGCCCCUCGACUUGCAUGUGUUAAGCCUGUAGCUAGCGUUCAUC
rnacentral:rRNA from 1 species